CCUACGGUGAGCAGCAGUGAGGAAUAUUGGUCAAUGGACGGAAGUCUGAACCAGCCAUGCCGCGUGCAGGAGGACGGCUCUAUGAGUUGUAAACUGCUUUUGUACAAGGGUAAACCUGAAUACGUGUAUUCAGCUGAAAGUACUAUACGAAUAAGGAUCGGCUAACUCCGUGCCAGCAGCCGCGGUAAUACGGAGGAUCCAAGCGUUAUCCGGAUUUAUUGGGUUUAAAGGGUGCGUAGGCGGAUUGAUAAGUUAGAGGUGAAAUGUCCGAGCUUAACUCGGGAACUGCCUCUAAUACUGUUGAUCUAGAGAGUAGAUGCGGUAGGCGGAAUGUAUGGUGUAGCGGUGAAAUGCUUAGAGAUCAUACAGAACACCGAUUGCGAAGGCGGCUUUCUGGACUGAAACUGACGCUGAGGCACGAAAGCGUGGGGAGCGAACAGGAUUAGAUACCCGGGUAGUC
rnacentral:rRNA from 1 species